AUAGAAUUCGAAUAGAGAAAGCAAAAUCACCUCAUAAUAAUUUAAAAAACCUUUGAUUUCUUCAAUGGCGUCACCAAAGUUGCAUUCUGUUAUGAUAAUGUUAACUAUUUUCAUAGCCAUGAUUUUGAUGAAUGUGAUGAUUGUAGAAUCAAAAACAUGGUGCCAGGUUAGGAGUAGUGCUACUGGCCCAGCACUGCAAAAUGCUUUAAAUUAUGCAUGUUCAAAUGGAGCUGAUUGUGGACCUAUUCAGCCUGGUGGAAGCUGCUUUAAUCCAAACACACUUCAAAGUCAUGCUUCAUAUGCUUUUGAUAGCUUCUAUAGAAACAAGGGCCAAAACCCUAGUGCCUGUAAUUUUGGUGGCCUUGCAACCAUUGCCGUAACUGACCCAAGUUAUGGACAAUGCAGAUACCCUUGAAGCUAAAGGAGCAUAUACAUCGAUUGCAAAGCCUCAAAGGAAAAAUUUCAUACAGUACACCACCAAACCGCAGUAUAAAUAAAUAAAUAUUAUUUCUUCAAAAAAAAAUAAAAAAUAUUAGUGGAGGCUCUUCUUCUUUGCUAAUAUUUUCAUCAUGUAAUGCUAAUUAUCAGAAUUGUAAUAUAAAACUUGAUAACCAAUCUUGAGUUAUUAUGUUACAAUAAUUUUGUGAAAGUGGGCUGAUAUUUCUAACUCGCAAGAUUGUUGUUGAUUAAUAAGAUACACUAAAAGCUUUGGCCAUGUACUUUGGCAUAGUUUUAAUAUUAUUUUUUUAGGGAGGCAUAGUUUUAAUUAUAAGCGCAACAGUGUUUUUUUUUUUAUAAAGAAAGCAAGAGUUUGUUGUUUGCAA